UGAGCCAAGUUUAGGGUUUCUUAAAAACCCAAAGAUGUUUGAACUGAAGAGUUUGAUCAUGGCUCAGAUUGAACGCUGGCGGCAGGCCUAACACAUGCAAGUCGAGCGGUAGAGAGAA
rnacentral:rRNA from 1 species